GUGGGGAAUAUUGGGCAAUGGAGGGAACUCUGACCCAGCAACGCCGCGUGAAGGAUGAAGGUUUUCGGAUUGUAAACUUCUGUCGCGAGGGACGAAGAAUGACGGUACCUCGUAAGAAAGCCCCGGCAAACUACGUGCCAGCAGCCGCGGUAAUACGUAGGGGGCGAGCGUUGUCCGGAAUGACUGGGCGUAAAGGGAGUGUAGGCGGCCUUUUAAGUUAUAUGUGAAAUCCCGUGGCUCAACCAUGGAAGUGCAUAUAAAACUGGAGGGCUGGAGUGCAGGAGAGGUAAGUGGAAUUCCUAGUGUAGCGGUGGAAUGCGUAGAUAUUAGGAGGAACACCAGAGGCGAAGGCGGCUUACUGGCCUGUAACUGACGCUGAGGCUCGAAAGCGUGGGGAGCAAACAGG
rnacentral:rRNA from 1 species